rnacentral:rRNA from 1 species
AGUGAACGCUGGCGGUAGGCCUAACACAUGCAAGUCGAACGGCAGCACAGUAAGAGCUUGCUCUUACGGGUGGCGAGUGGCGGACGGGUGAGGAAUACAUCGGAAUCUACUUUUUCGUGGGGGAUAACGUAGGGAAACUUACGCUAAUACCGCAUACGACCUACGGGUGAAAGCAGGGGAUCUUCGGACCUUGCGCGAUUGAAUGAGCCGAUGUCGGAUUAGCUAGUUGGCGGGCUAAAGGCCCACCAAGGCGACGAUCCGUAGCUGGUCUGAGAGGAUGAUCAGCGACACUGGAACUGGGACACGGUCCAGACUCCUACGGGAGGCAGCAGUGGGGAAUAUUGGACAAUGGGCGCAAGCCUGAUCCAGCCAUACCGCGUGGGUGAAGAAGGCCUUCGGGUUGUAAAGCCCUUUUGUUGGGAAAGAAAAGCAGCAGGUUAAUACCCCGCUGUUCUGACGGUACCCAAAGAAUAAGCACCGGCUAACUUCGUG